rnacentral:rRNA from 1 species
GAUAUAUGGAGCUUGCUUUAUAUAACUUAGCAGCGAACGGGUGAGUAACACGUAGAUAAUCUAUCCUAUACUGGGGGAUAGCCCGAUGAAAGUUGGAUUAAUACCGCAUAUAGCUAUAUAGUUGCAUGACUAUGUAGUGAAAGAUUUAUUGGUAUAGGAGGAGUCUGCGGCACAUUAGCUAGUAGGUGAGGUAAAGGCUUACCUAGGCGACGAUGUGUAGCCGGUCUGAGAGGAUGAACGGCCACAAUGGAACUGAGACACGGCCCAUACUCCUACGGGAGGCAGCAGUGGGGAAUAUUGCACAAUGGGGGAAACCCUGAUGCAGCAACGCCGCGUGAGUGAAGAAGGUUUUCGGAUUGUAAAGCUCUGUUAGCAGGGAAGAGGAAGGACGGUACCUGCAGAGGAAGCCACGGCUAACUACGUGCCAGCAGCCGCGGUAAUACGUAGGUGGCAAGCGUUGUUCGGAAUAACUGGGCGUAAAGGAUGCGUAGGCGGUUAAACAAGUUAUAUGUUAAAUAUAUAGGCUUAACCUGUAGAAAGCAUAUAAAACUGUUUAACUAGAGUGCAGGAGAGGUAAGUGGAAUUCCUAGUGUAGCGGUGAAAUGCGUAGAGAUUAGGAAGAACACCAGUGGCGAAGGCGACUUACUGGACUGUAACUGACGCUGAGGCAUGAGAGCAUGGGGAGCAAACAGGAUUAGAUACCCUGGUAGUCCAUGCUGUAAACGAUGGGUACUAGGUGUGGGUUGUGAAUAACAAUUCGUGCCGUCGCAAACGCAAUAAGUACCCCGCC